UACGUAGGGUGCAAGCGUUGUCCGGAAUUAUUGGGCGUAAAGAGCUCGUAGGCGGCUCGUCGCGUCGGCUGUGAAAACCUGGGGCUCAACCCCGGGCCUGCAGCCGGAUACGGGCGAGCUAGAAUUCGGUAGGGGAGACUGGAAUUCCUGGUGUAGCGGGUGAAAUGCGCAGAUAUCAGGAGGAACACCGGUGGCGAAGGCGGGGUCUCUGGGCAACAACUGACGCUGAGGAGCGAAAGCGUGGGGAGCGAACAGG
rnacentral:rRNA from 1 species